GCGCGAAACCUUCGCAAUGCGCGAAAGCGCGACGAGGUUACUCCGAGUGUUACCCGCUGAGGGUAACUUUUGCUGGGUAUAAAUAACCUAGAGAAUAAGGGGAGGGCAAGUCUGGUGUCAGCCGCCGCGGUAAUACCAGCUCCCCGAGUGGUCGGGACGUUUAUUGGGCCUAAAGCAUCCGUAGCCGGUCUUGUAGGUCUUUUGUUAAAUCCAACGGCUCAACCGUUGGGCUGCAGGAGAUACCGCAGGACUAGGAGGCGGUAGAGGUGGAUGGUACUCAAUGUGUAGGGGUAAAAUCCUUUGAUCCAUUGAAGACCACCAGUGGCGAAGGCGGUCCACCAGAACGCGCUCGACGGUGAGGGAUGAAAGCUGGGGGAGCGAACCGGAUUAGAUACCCGGGUAGUCCCAGCUGUAAACGAUGCGAGCUAGGUGAUGGGGUGGCUACGAGCCAUCCCGGUGCCCCAGGGAACGCCGUUAAGCUCGCCGCCUGGGAACGUACGGCCGCAAGGCUGAAACUUAAAGGAAUUGGCGGGGGAGCCGACACGGAA
rnacentral:rRNA from 2 species